rnacentral:rRNA from 1 species
UACAGAGGUCUCAAGCGUUGUUCGGAUUCAUUGGGCGUAAAGGGUGUGUAGGUGGCGCCGUAAGUCGGGUGUGAAAUCUCGGGCUUAACUCCGAAACUGCAUUCGAUACUACCGUGCUUGAGGACUGGAGAGGAGACUGGAAUUUACGGUGUAGCGGUGAAAUGCGUAGAUAUCGUAAGGAAGACCAGUGGCGAAGGCGGCUCACUGGCCCGAUACUGACGCUGAGGUGCGAAAGCGUGGGGAGCAAACAGG